rnacentral:RNase_P_RNA from 1 species
AUGUAUGGGAUACUCUGAUCCCUAUAUUAAUUUGGAUACAGGGUAAGGGUGGAAAGGUGAGGUAAAAGCUCACCAGCAUUUAGGCGACUAAAUUGGCUAUGUAAACCCCACCUGGAGCAAGACCGAAUAGGGGAUAUAAAGUGGUUGCCCGCCGCAUCCCGGGAAAAGGUCGCUUGAGUCUGCCGGCAACGGUAGAUCUAGAUAGAUGAUCAUCCACGACAGAACUCGGCUUACGGCUUGCUCAUUAU